rnacentral:rRNA from 1 species
AUUGAACGCUGGCGGCAGGCCUAACACAUGCAAGUCGAGCGAGCGGCGGACGGGUGAGUAAUGUAUGGGGACUGCCCGAUAGAGGGGGAUAACUACUGGAAACGGUGGCUAAUACCGCAUACUAUCGGAUAACCCAGAUGGGAUUAGCUAGUAGGUGGGGUAAAGGCUCACCUGGGCGACGAUCACUAGCUGGUCUGAGAGGAUGAUCGGCCACACUGGGCCUGAGAACCGGCCCAGCGCCUUACGGAGGCAGCAGGGGGGAUUAUUGCACAUGGGGCGAAAGCCUGAUGCAGCCAGGCGGGGGGUAUGAGGAAGGCCUUAGGUUGUUAAAGUACUUUCAGCGGGAAGGCGUUACCCGCAAAAGAAGCACCGGUUAACUCCGUGCCACCAGCCGCGUAAAUC